rnacentral:tRNA from 1 species
GCUGAGAUGGCUGGGUUGGUCUAAGGCGCGCGAGAUUAGGAUUUUGGUCCGAAGACGGCGUGAGUUCGAGUCCCACUCUCAAUA